rnacentral:rRNA from 1 species
AUUGAACGCUGGCGGCAUGCUUUACACAUGCAAGUCGAACGGUAACAGGGAGCUUGCUCCGCUGACGAGUGGCGAACGGGUGAGUAAUGCGUCGGAACGUGCCGAGUAGUGGGGGAUAACGCAUCGAAAGGUGUGCUAAUACCGCAUACGAACUGAGGUUGAAAGUGGGGGACCUUCGGGCCUCACGCUAUUCGAGCGGCCGACGUCUGAUUAGCUAGUUGGUGAGGUAAAGGCUCACCAAGGCGACGAUCAGUAGCGGGUCUGAGAGGAUGAUCCUCCACACUGGGACUGAGACACGGCCCAGACUCCUACGGGAGGCAGCAGUGGGGAAUUUUGGACAAUGGGCGCAAGCCUGAUCCAGCCAUGCCGCGUGUCUGAAGAAGGCCUUCGGGUUGUAAAGGACUUUUGUCCGGGAGCAAAUGCUGGUGGUUAAUACCCACCGGGGAUGAGAGUACCAGAAGAAUAGGGAUCGGCUAACUACGUGCCAGCCGCCGCGGUAACAC